AUUGAACGCUGGCGGCAGGCUUAACACAUGCAAGUCGAGCGAGCGGCGGACGGGUGAGUAAUGUAUGGGAAACUGCCUGAUGGAGGGGGAUAACUACUGGAAACGGUAGCUAAUAACGCAUACCAUAAGAGGUGCCCAGAUGGGAUUAGCUAGUAGGUGGGGUAAUGGCUCACCUAGGGGACGAAACCUAGCUGGUCUGAGAGGAUGACCGGCCACCCUGGAACUGGGCCACGGUCCAGACUCCUACGUGCGGCGCCAGUGGGAACUAUUGCACAAUGGGCGCAAGCCUGAUGCAGCCAUGCCGCUUUUGUGAAGAAGGCCUUCGGGUUGUAAAGCACUUUCAGCGAGGAGGCGUUACUCGCAGAAGAAGCACCGGCUAACUCCGUGCCAGCAGCCGCGGUAAUUC
rnacentral:rRNA from 1 species